rnacentral:ncRNA from 1 species
CAAGCACUAAAUUUUUCGUUUGAAUUAUUGACAUCAAAUAACUGCUUAUAAAUUAAGGAAGAAUUUUUCUAAGGUUGAAAAUUGCAUGAGUAAAAUUUGUGUAAAAGCAUGAAUUUU